rnacentral:rRNA from 1 species
GACGAACGCGGGCGGCGUGCCUAAUACAUGCAAGUAGGACGCACAGUUUAUACCGUAGCUUGCUACACCAUAGACUGUGAGUUGCGAACGGGUGAGUAACGCGUAGGUAACCUACCUAUUAGAGGGGGAUAACUAUUGGAAACGAUAGCUAAUACCGCAUAACAGUAUGUAACACAUGUUAGAUGCUUGAAAGAUGCAAUUGCAUCGCUAGUAGAUGGACCUGCGUUGUAUUAGCUAGUAGGUAGGGUAAAGGCCUACCUAGGCAACGAUACAUAGCCGACCUGAGAGGGUGAUCGGCCACACUGGGACUGAGACACGGCCCAGACUUCUACGGGAGGCAGCAGUAGGGAAUCUUCGGCAAUGGGGGGAACCCUGACCGAGCAACGCCGCGUGAGUGAAGAAGGUUUUCGGAUCGUAAAGCUCUGUUGUUAAGGAAGAACGAGUGUGAGAAUGGAAAGUUCAUGCUGUGACGGUACUUAACCAGAAAGGGACGGCUAACUACGUGCCAGCAGCCGCGGUAAUACGUAGGUCCCGAGCGUUGUCCGGAUUUAUUGGGCGUAAAGCGAGCGCAGGCGGUUAGAAAAGUCUGAAGUGAAAGGCAGUGGCUCAACCAUUGUAGGCUUUGGAAACUGUUUAACUUGAGUGCAGAAGGGGAGAGUGGAAUUCCAUGUGUAGCGGUGAAAUGCGUAGAUAUAUGGAGGAACACCGGUGGCGAAAGCGGCUCCCUGGUCUGUAACUGACGCUGAGGCUCGAAAGCGUGGGGAGCGAACAGG